rnacentral:rRNA from 1 species
CUAUGCUGACGACCGGCGCACGGGUGCGUAACGCGUAUAGAACCUACCUUAUAGUAAGGGAUAGCCCAGAGAAAUUUGGAUUAAUACCUUAUAGUAUUAUUGAAUGGCAUCGUUUAAUAAUUAAAGAUUUAUUGCUAUAAGAUGGCUAUGCGUUCUAUUAGCUAGUUGGUAUGGUAACGGCAUACCAAGGCUACGAUAGAUAGGGGUCCUGAGAGGGAGAUCCCCCACACUGGUACUGAGACACGGACCAGACUCCUACGGGAGGCAGCAGUGAGGAAUAUUGGACAAUGGAGGCAACUCUGAUCCAGCCAUGCCGCGUGUAGGAAGACUGCCCUAUGGGUUGUAAACUACUUUUAUAGAGGAAGAAACGACACUACGUGUAGUGUUUUGACGGUACUCUACGAAUAAGGAUCGGCUAACUCCGUGCCAGCAGCCGCGGUAAUACGGAGGAUCCAAGCGUUAUCCGGAAUCAUUGGGUUUAAAGGGUCCGUAGGCGGGUUUGUAAGUCAGUGGUGAAAGUUUUCGGCUCAACCGGAAAAUUGCCAUUGAUACUGCAAGUCUUGAAUCAUUGUGAAGUGGUUAGAAUGUGUAGUGUAGCGGUGAAAUGCAUAGAUAUUACACAGAAUACCGAUUGCGAAGGCAGAUCACUAACAAUGUAUUGACGCUAAGGGACGAAAGCGUGGGUAGCGAACAGGAUUAGAUACCCUGGUAGUCCACGCCGUAAACGAUGGUUACUAGCUGUUUGGACUUCGGUCUAAGUGGCUAAGCGAAAGUGAUAAGUAACCCACCUGGGGAGUACGUUCGCAAGAAUGAAACUCAAAGGAAUUGACGGGGGCCCGCACAAGCGGUGGAGCAUGUGGUUUAAUUCGAUGAUACGCGAGGAACCUUACC